CCUACGUGAGGCAGCAGUGAGGAAUAUUGGUCAAUGGGCGCGAGCCUGAACCAGCCAAGUAGCGUGAAGGAUGACUGCCCUACGGGUUGUAAACUUCUUUUAUAAAGGAAUAAAGUGAGGCACGUGUGUCUUUCUGUAUGUACUUUAUGAAUAAGGAUCGGCUAACUCCGUGCCAGCAGCCGCGGUAAUACGGAGGAUCCGAGCGUUAUCCGGAUUUAUUGGGUUUAAAGGGAGCGUAGGUGGGUUGUUAAGUCAGUGGUGAAAGUUUGGGGCUUAACCGUAAAAUUGCAGUUGAUACUGGCGGUCUUGAGUGCAGUUGAGGUAGGCGGAAUUCGUGGUGUAGCGGUGAAAUGCUUAGAUAUCACGAAGAACUCCGAUUGCGAAGGCAGCUUACUAAGCUGCAACUGACGUUGAUGCUCGAAAGUGUGGGUAUCAAACAGGAUUAGAUACCCCAGUAGUC
rnacentral:rRNA from 1 species